CAGUAGCCACGGUAAUACGAAGGGUGCGAGCGUUACUCGGAAUUACUGGGCGUAAAGCGUGCGUAGGUAGUGGUUUAAGUCCGUUGUGAAAGCCCUGGGCUCAACCUGGGAAUUGCAGUGAAUACUGGGUCACUAGAGUGUGGUAGAGGAUAGUGGAAUUUCCGGUGUAGCAGUGAAAUGCGUAGAGAUCGGAAGGAACAUCUGUGGCGAAGGCGACUAUCUGGGCCAACACUGACACUGAGGCACGAAAGCGUGGGGAGCAAACAGGAUUAGAUACCCCGGUAGUCCCUGUCUCUUAUAC
rnacentral:rRNA from 1 species